rnacentral:rRNA from 1 species
GCCAACGUCCAUACCACGUUGAAUACACCGGUUCUCGUCCGAUCACCGAAGUUAAGCAACGUCGGGCGCGGUCAGUACUUGGAUGGGUGCAAUAACUUUUAACUGGGUGUACCGAUUUUGAUA